rnacentral:tRNA from 1 species
GGUGGCUGAGUGGUAGAGCGCUUGCCUUGCAUGUCUGAGGCCUUGGGUUCGAUUCCCAGCACCA